ensembl:snRNA U5 U5 spliceosomal RNA
AUGCUCUGUUUUUUCUUCAAAUUGUAUAAAUCUUUCACCUUUCACUAAAGAUUUCCAUGGAGAGGAACAACUCUGAGUCUUCAGUCAAUUUUUUGAGGGCUUGUUUUACCAGGGCU